CCCUUAGAUGUUCUGGGCCGCACGCGCGCUACACUGAUGCAUUCAACGAGUGUACCUUGGCCGAGAGGCCUGGGCAAUCUUUUGAACGUGCAUCGUGAUAGGGAUAGAUUAUUGCAAUUAUUAAUCUUGAACGAGGAAUUCCUAGUAAACGCAGAUCAUCAAUCUGCAUUGAUUACGUCCCUGCCCUUUGUACACACCGCCCGUCGCACCUACCGAUUGAGUGGUCCGGUGAGGCUUUGGGAUCUGAGCGGAAAGAGCGUUUCGCUGUUUCUGCUCGGAAAACUCAGUCGAACCUUAUCAUUUAGAGGAAGGAGAAGUCGUAACA
rnacentral:rRNA from 1 species